rnacentral:tRNA from 1 species
GAGGGUGUAGCUCAGUGCUAGAGUGUGUGCUUAGCAUGCAUGAAGUCCUGGGUUCAACCCACAGUACCUCA